AGUUCUGCUGCACCGCCUUCUCAUAGGGAAGCCUCUCGGGCGUCAGGAAGCUGGAGAGUGUCACCGAGCAGCUGUCCCCGAAGAGCCUGGGCAGGAGCAGCUGAUGGGCGCAUGCUCGAAGCCGCCCCUGUCCCACCCAUGAGCCAGCGGAUGGCUGGGGAAACGCUCUCCCUUGGCCAAGGCCGUGAGGACUGCCUGGCAGCUCAGCAGCACAGACCAACCUCUACCGUUCGCUCCCCAGCCCCUGGCCUGGCAGUGGCGGGAACUUUGUUCCGCGGCCCGGGUGGCCACGGCCUGGGUUUCCCUCCGGAAGGGAAGGGGAGAGCGCGCGGAUGUGGUAGGCCAAGGACCACACCUGCCGCGAAGGUUACAGUCGGUGAAGUAGAUCGGGGACACGAACUUCUCCACCCGCUCGAAAGUGGUGCGCCAGUGCUUCAAGAACGGCGCUGCCGCCAUGGCGAUGCGCCUUCCCUCCCCGGAAGAUCCUUGGUGCUGCCGGCUCGUUGCACCGCUUGGAACCAAAGGUUCCGGCAUCCAACCAGCUUACAGACCCGAGCAGCUUUUCUGGGAACACCACGGCUUUUGCAAGAGGCUGGCUCUGGGGAGCCUCCCAGUGAAACCCGGAAGCUGAGCCUUCGCGGUUCUCACCUCAGCCUUGCUGUCAGACAGCUGGGUAAAUUAUUUUUAAAUACAAUGGAGUCUGGAAGAAAAUAAUACAGGAGGAAUCUAACUAGCCUGCUUUAAUGGAAAUAACCAGGUUUACAUUCCAAAUGCAGGUUACCCAGAAAAAUGAUCAAGUAAGAAAUAUACAAUGCCAAUUAAAAUAACUUGUCAAAACUUG
rnacentral:lncRNA from 1 species